rnacentral:lncRNA from 1 species
GUGCCCGUCUCACCCCUGUCAGUGCCUGUCUCACCGCUGCCAGUGCCUGUCUCACCACUGUCCGUGCCUGUCUCACCCCUGUCAGUGCCUGUCUCACCGCUGCCAGUGCCUGUCUCACCACUGUCAGUGCCUGUCUCAUCGCUGUCAGUGCCUGUCUCACCGCUGCCUGUCAGUACCUGUCUCACUGCUGCCAGUGCCCGUCUCACCGCUGUCAGUGCCUGUCUCAUCGCUGUGUCAGUGCCCGUCUCACCGCUGUCAGUGCCCGUCUCACCGCUGUCAGUGCCUGUCUCACUGCUGUCUGUUAGUGCCUGUCACCGCCGUCAGUGCCUGUCUCACCGCUGCCUGUCAGUACCUGUCUCACUGCUGCCAGUGCCCGUCUCACCGCUGUCAGUGCCUGUCUCAUCGCUGUGUCAGUGCCUGUCUCACCGCUGUCAGUGCCCGUCUCACCGCUGUCAGUGCCUGUCUCACUGCUGUCUGUUAGUGCCUGUCACCGCCGUCAGUGCCUGUCUCACCGCUGCCUGUCAGUACCUGUCUCACUGCUGCCAGUGCCCGUCUCACCGCUGUCAGUGCCUGUCUCAUCGCUGUGUCAGUGCCUGUCUCACCGCUGUCAGUGCCCGUCUCACCGCUGUCAGUGCCUGUCUCACUGCUGUCUGUCAGUGCCUGUCACCGCCGUCAGUGCCUGUCUCACCGCUGCCUGUCAGUACCUGUCUCACUGCUGCCAGUGCCCGUCUCACCGCUGUCAGUGCCUGUCUCAUCGCUGUGUCAGUGCCUGUCUCACCGCUGUCAGUGCCCGUCUCACCGCUGUCAGUGCCUGUCUCACUGCUGUCUGUCAGUGCCUGUCACCGCCGUCAGUGCCUGUCUCACCGCUGCCUGUCAGUACCUGUCUCACUGCUGCCAGUGCCCGUCUCACCGCUGUCAGUGCCUGUCUCAUCGCUGUGUCAGUGCCUGUCUCACCGCUGUCAGUGCCCGUCUCACCGCUGUCAGUGCCUGUCUCACUGCUGUCUGUCAGUGCCUGUCACCGCCGUCAGUGCCUGUCUCACCGCUGCCUGUCAGUACCUGUCUCACUGCUGCCAGUGCCCGUCUCACCGCUGUCAGUGCCUGUCUCAUCGCUGUCAGUGCCUGUCUCAUCGCUGUGUCAGUGCCUGUCUCAUCGCUGUGUCAGUGCCUGUCUCACCGUCGUCAGUGCUCCACAGGUUUUUGGAUGAAACUUGA